UAAGACGAGCCACCCGAACGUUAUUCGGAAUUACUGGGCUUAAAGGGUGCGUAGGCGGUGUAGCAAGUCGGGAGUGAAAUACCCCAGCUUAACUGAGGAAUUGCUUUCGAUACUGCUGCGCUUGAGUGAGACAGAGGUAAGCGGAACUUAGGGUGGAGCGGUGAAAUGCGUUGAUAUCCUAAGGAACACCGGUGGCGAAGGCGGCUUACUGGGUCUCAACUGACGCUGAGGCACGAAAGCUAGGGUAGCAAACGGGAUUAGAUACCCCGGUAGUCCUAGCCGUAAACCAUGAGCACUUGAUUGAAGGGCCCUCCAUAGCCCUUCAGUCGGAGCGAAAGUGUUAAGUGCUCCGCCUGGGGAGUAUGGUCGCAAGGCUG
rnacentral:rRNA from 1 species